rnacentral:rRNA from 1 species
GUAGGUGGCAAGCGUUGUCCGGAGUUUACUGGGGGGCGUAAAGGGGCGUGUAGGGCGGGUCCGCUAAGUCCGGGUGUGAAAUCUCCCGGCUCAACUGGGAGGGGUCAUCGGAUACUGGCGGGCUAGAGGAGGGCAGAGGAAGGUGGAAUUCCCGGUGUAGCGGUGAUAUGCGUAGAUAUCGGGAGGAACACCAGUGGCGAAGGCGGCCUUCUGGGCCCAUCCUGACGCUGAGGCGCGAAAGCGUGGGGAGCAAACCGGAUUAGAUACCCGGGUAGUCCACGCCCUAAACGUUGGACACUAGGUGUGGGGGGUGUCGACCCCCUCUGUGCCGUAGCUAACGCAUUAAGUGUCCCGCCUGGGGAGUACGGCCGCAAGGCUA